rnacentral:rRNA from 1 species
CCCUUAGAUGUCCUGGGCCGCACGCGCGCUACACUGAGUGUCUGAGAUACGAGUCUGCCUGGUCCGGCAAGGUCUAGGUAAUCGCUAAAAGACACAUCAUGCUUGGGAUAGAUUAUUGCAAAUAUUAAUCUUGAACGAGGAAUUCCUAGUAAGCGCAAGUCAACAGCUUGCGUUGAUUACGUCCCUGCCCUUUGUACACACCGCCCGUCGCUCCUACCGAUUGAAUGAUCCGAUGAAUACCAUGGAUUGAGAGUACGAAUAGGUUCGCUUAUUUCUGCUGCUCGAGAAGUGGAGUAAAUCUUAUCAUUUAGAGGAAGGAGAAGUCGUAACA